CACGGUCAUAUCACGUUGAAACUGCGGUUCUCGAACGAUCACCGAAGUUAAGCAACUUAGAUCCUAGGCAGUACCUAUAUGAGUGACUGUUUGGGAAUAUCAGGUGCUGUAA